rnacentral:rRNA from 1 species
UACGUAGGGGGGCAAGCGUUGUCCGGAUUUAUUGGGCGUAAAGAGCGUGUAGGCGGCUAGGUAGGUCCGUUGUGAAAACUCGAGCUCAACCUCGAGACGCCGGUGGAAACCAUCUAGCUAGAGUCCGGAAGAGGAGAGUGGAAUUCCUGGUGUAGCGGUGAAAUGCGCAGAUAUCAGGAAGAACACCCGUGGCGAAGGCGGCUCUCUGGGACGUGACUGACGCUGAGACGCGAAAGCGUGGGGAGCGAACAGG